rnacentral:rRNA from 1 species
GCUGGCGGCGUGGAUUAGGCAUGCAAGUCGAACGCGAACAUUUUCCUUCGGGGAAAUCAGUAGAGUGGCGAACGGGUGAGUAACGCGUAGAUAAUCUAUCCAUAAGUGGGGGAUAGCCUCGGGAAACCGAGAUUAAUACCGCAUGUGAUCUGGCUUGCCAGAUCAAAGGUGGCCUCUGUUUACAAGCUAUCGCUUAUGGGUGAGUCUGCGUCCUAUUAGCUAGUUGGUUGGGUAAUGGCUAACCAAGGCGAUGAUAGGUAGGCGGCCUUAACGGGUGGUCGCCCACACUGGGAUUGAGAUACGGCCCAGACUCCUACGGGAGGCAGCAGUCGAGAAUCGUCUACAAUGGGCGAAAGCCUGACGCAGCGACGCCGCGUGGGGGAUGAAGGCCUUCGGGUUGUAAACCCCCGUCAGGGAGGAAGAAGUCUUAUUAUGCCAAUACCAUAGUGAGAUGACGGUACUCCCAGAGGAAGCGCCGGCUAAUUACGUGCCAGCAGCCGCGGUAAUACGUAGGGCGCAAGCGUUGCUCGGAAUUACUGGGCGUAAAGGGGGCGCAGGCGGCCAACCAAGUCAAAGGUGAAAUACUACGGCUCACCCGUAGAAACGCCUUUGAUACUGUUUGGCUUGAGGACAGGAGAGGUGAGUGGAAUUCCUGGUGUAGCAGGUGAAAUGCGUAGAUAUCAGGAGGAACACCGAAGGCGAAGGCAGCUCACUGGACUGUUCCUGACGCUCAUGCCCGAAAGUUAGGGUAGCAAACGGGAUUAGAUACCCCGGUAGUCCUAACUGUAAACGAUGGGUACUAGAUAUGUCCUGAUUUUUCGGGAUGUGUCUGCAGCUAACGCAUUAAGUACCCCGCCUGGGGAGUACGGGUCGCAAGGCUGAAACUCAAAGGAAUUGACGGGGGCCCGCACAAGCGGUGGAGCAUGUGGUUUAAUUCGAUGCAACGCGAAGAACCUUACCUAGGCUUGAACUAUAGGUAGUACCUUCCUGAAAGGGAUAGGGAUCCCGUUUACGGGAAGCCUAUAGAGGUGCUGCAUGGCUUGUCGUCAGCUCGUGUCGUGAGAUGUUGGGUUAAGUCCCGCAACGAGCGCAACCCCUGCCCUUAGUUGCCAUUUCUUCGGAAGGAACUCUAAGGGGACUGCCGGCGAAGAGCCGGAGGAAGGCGGGGAUGACGUCAAGUCAGCAUGGCCUUUAUGUCUAGGGCUACACACGUGCUACAAUGGUUGGUACAGAGGGUCSCUACUCGGCAACGAGAUGCUAAUCUCUAAAACCAAUCUCAGUUCGGAUUGCAGGCUGCAACUCGCCUGCAUGAAGUCGGAAUCGCUAGUAAUCGCGGAUCAGCAAUGUCGCGGUGAAUACGUUCUCGGGCCUUGUACACACCGCCCGUCACAUCACGAAAGCCGGUCUUACCAGAAGCCGUUGCUCUAACCCGCUUCGGCGGGAGGGGGAUGUCCAAGGUAAGGCUGGUAAUUGG